rnacentral:rRNA from 1 species
GACGAGCGCUGGCGGCGUGCUUAACACAUGCAAGUCGAACGGAAAGGCUCCAGCUUGCUGGAGUACUCGAGUGGCGAACGGGUGAGUAACACGUGGGUAAUCUGCCCUGCACUCUGGGAUAAGCCUGGGAAACUGGGUCUAAUACUGGAUAUGACCUUUCUCCUUAUGGGGUUUGGUGGAAAGUUUUUCGGUGUAGGAUGAGCCCGCGGCCUAUCAGCUUGUUGGUGGGGUGAUGGCUUACCAAGGCGACGACGGGUAGCCGGCCUGAGAGGGUGAUCGGCCACAUUGGGACUGAGAUACGGCCCAGACUCCUACGGGAGGCAGCAGUGGGGAAUAUUGCACAAUGGGCGGAAGCCUGAUGCAGCGACGCCGCGUGAGGGAUGACGGCCUUCGGGUUGUAAACCUCUUUCAGCAGGGACGAAGCGUAAGUGACGGUACCUGCAGAAGAAGCACCGGCUAACUAUGUG